AACGAACGCUGGCGGCAGGCUUAACACAUGCAAGUCGAGCGCCCCGCAAGGGGAGCGGCAGACGGGUGAGUGACGCGUGGGAACGUACCCUUUGCUACGGAAUAGCUCCGGGAAACUGGAAUUAAUACCGUAUGUGCCCUACGGGGGAAAGAUUUAUCGGCAAAGGAUCGGCCCGCGUUGGAUUAGCUAGGUGGUGGGGUAAUGGCCUACCAAGGCGACGAUCCAUAGCUGGUCUGAGAGGAUGAUCAGCCACAUUGGGACUGAGACACGGCCCAAAGUCCUACGGGAGGCAGCAGUGGGGAAUAUUGGACAAUGGGCGCAAGCCUGAUCCAGCCAUGCCGCGUGAGUGAUGAAGGCCUUAGGGUUGUAAAGCUCUUUCACCGGAGAAGAUAAUGACGGUAUCCGGAGAAGAAGCCCCGGCUAACUUCGUGCCAGCAGCCGCCGUAAGAC
rnacentral:rRNA from 1 species